CAUGCACCAGUGGGGUCCCUCAGCCUGGCCUGGCCCUCUCACAAUCUGGGACCCCUCAGGGGAUGUUGGAGAGCAGUUUUGGCCCAAUCCCACAGGCCAGGCUGAGGGACCCCACUGGUGCAUG
rnacentral:pre_miRNA from 1 species